rnacentral:rRNA from 1 species
GACAGGAGGGGCAAGCGUUGUCCGAUUUAUUGGGCGUAAAGGGCGCGUAGGCGGCCUUCUAAGUCGGACGUGAAAUCCCCAGGCUUAACUUGGGAACUGCGUCUGAUACUGGAAGGCUUGAGUGCGGGAGAGGGAUGUGGAAUUCCAGGUGUAGCGGUGAAAUGCGUAGAUAUCUGGAGGAACACCGGUGGCGAAGGCGGCCUGCUGGGCAGUCGCUGACACUGAGGCGCGACAGCGUGGGGAGCAAACAGG